CGCGCAGAACCUUACCAGCCCUUGACAUACCGGUCGCGGACACAGAGAUGUGCGUUUCAGUUCGGCUGGACCGGAUACAGGUGCUGCAUGGCUGUCGUCAGCUCGUGUCGUGACGAUGUUGGGUUAAGUCCCGCAACGAGCGCAACCCUCGCCUUUAGUUGCCAUCAUUCAGUUGGGCACUCUAAAGGGACUGCCGGUGAUAAGCCGCGAGGAAGGUGGGAUGACGUCAACGUCCUCAUGGCCUUUAUGACCAGGGCUACACACGUACUACAAUGGCCGAUACAAAGGGCAGCGACACUGCGAGGUAGAAGCCAAUCCCGUAAAAUCGGUCUCAGUCCGGAUUGGAGUCUGCAACUCGACUCCAUGAAGUUGGAAUCGCUAGUAAUCGUGGAUCAGCAUGCCACGGUGAAUACGUUCCCGGGCCUU
rnacentral:rRNA from 1 species